GUGGGGAAUCUUCCGCAAUGGACGAAAGUCUGACGGAGCAACGCCGCGUGAGUGAAGAAGGUUUUCGGAUCGUAAAGCUCUUUCGUUAGGGACGAACGUGCUCUUUGUGAAUAAUGAGGAGUAAUGACGGUACCUAAAUAAGAAGCCACGGCUAACUACGUGCCAGCAGCCGCGGUAAUACGUAGGUGGCAAGCGUUGUCCGGAAUUAUUGGGCGUAAAGCGCGCGCAGGCGGGAUAUCAAGUCUGUCUUAAAAGUGCGAGGCUCAACCUCGUGAGGGGACAGAAACUGGUAUUCUUGAGUGUCGGAGAGGAAAGUGGAAUUUCAAGUGUAGCGGUGAAAUGCGUAGAGAUUUGGAAGAACACCAGUGGCGAAGGCGACUUUCUGGACGAUGUCUGACGCUGAGGCGCGAAAGCUAGGGGAGCGAACGGGAUUAGAUACCCGUGUAGUCC
rnacentral:rRNA from 1 species